UUCACUGUUACCGAACUAUACAAGUAGCACACAGUGUGAUUAAUCUAAACAAUGCAGUGAAGCAGUGGCGUUGUGAAUUUUGCAAUGUUUGGUAGAGACCCGGAAGUUUCACGAAUGUUUACUUGUCACAUUGUCGUCAUGGAAAUUCACUGGACCAAGCCCUGGUUUACUCUCAUCCAGUAUUUAAGACACAGUACCACAGAUGCCAGAGUAAAUACAGACUGUGGCAUUACAAUAACUGGACAAGAACAUCUGCGCAAGCUUUUGAUUUCAGGAUGAAGACUUUACAUGCAAUGCUACUGAUGCUGUUUGUUGCAUCUGUCUUUUCAAAACAUUCUCACCGGCCCAGAAGAUCUGAUUCAUCAGAGUCUGAGGGUUCAGAUGAAAGUGAUUCACGCAGUGCAUUCAUUGAGGAUUCACAGUCGGUUGAGAAUUCUGACGAGUCUAAUGAAUCUUCUGAGGAAGAUAUCAGAGCUGUGAGAACUCACAUAGGAAGUCCACCGACCACAAAAUGACACAAGACAUCACAAGCUGUGUUACUGUGGAUCUGACAACUGAUGGGCAAUAAUAAUAAAAUCAUUAUAAUAUCUUACAAUGCUACUGCUUAAUCAUCUUUUCAUGCAAAAACAAAAAAAAAAAACAUUACUUUCUAUUGUAAACCAUAAUGACUUGAAACUGAAAACUGAUUGAUGUAAUUACUUUUAAAUUGCAUGUCCCUAUUAUGAUUUUAAGUGCUCAUUCAGAAUAAAUAAUCUUUCAA